AAAGCUACCAUCUCAUGCACAAAUGCUUCUGGUUAUUUUUAGCUUCCUAAGAGCAGUUAUUUCUCUGGGAUAUUCUGAUUAGUACCUCCCUGCAGCUUCAGGGAAGACUCUUCUUAACAGCUUGAGCUGAAAUAAAUCGAUAUUUGAAGUAAAUGUGAGAGGAUACAACAGUGCCACUGGCCACAGGAAAGACCGUAAGGCGAUACACCUACUGACUCAGUUUCCCUGCAUAAGGUGACAAUCUGUGCAGCUGCCCUAGCAGUAG